UACGUAGGGGGCGAGCGUUGUCCGGAUUCAUUGGGCGUAAAGAGCUCGUAGGCGGUUCGGCAAGUCGGGUGUGAAAACUCCAGGCUCAACCUGGAGACGCCACCCGAUACUGCUGUGACUCGAGUCCGGUAGGGGACCACGGAAUUCCUGGUGUAGCGGUGAAAUGCGCAGAUAUCGGGAGGAACACCGGUGGCGAAGGCGGGUCUCUGGGCAGUAACUGACGCUGAGGAGCGAAAGCGUGGGGAGCGAACAGG
rnacentral:rRNA from 1 species